rnacentral:misc_RNA from 1 species
UCUAACAAAUAAUGUGCGCGUCGUUUUUACGAGCGAUGUGCACACGUUGAUGAGCUUUUCCGAAAAAACCAGGUUUUUUUGGUGGCGCAUAAUGAACAGCGUGGGCUUUUUCUUCGAUUCUCGUGUAGUAAAUUUCCAAACAACGCUUGGGUUGAGAAAAAGUGCGUGCCGCGCAAUGGGUGUGGCGAAUUUUACCCCUGCCCCAAUGCCACUCUUUCCCUGCGAAAGAACAAUCUUUUAU